ACAAAUCACCGCGCGCUGCUGCAGACCCUCCUGCCUCACCGCGGGGAAAGAGGGAGGAUGCGGGAAGGUCUGAGUCCCGCACCUGGAUCGCUCACACCUGGGAGCUGCCUCCUGGCUCCGGUCUCGUGCUUCCCGCUGCAGUGAUGGCACGGAUGGGGGCAGCGCAUCAGAAUCACCUGUAGGGCCUUUUCGAACUCCACAGCCCCUCCCCAAAUUCUAGCCCACUCGUCUAGAGGACGAAAAUCACUGAAUGUGCAGGAUGGGUGCACUGGUGGAGUUUUCGAAAGCCCCACAGGUGAUACUAGAUGCACGCACACACAGGAACACACAUCUUGUGACUCCGAGACUAAACAGGUCAACCCGACGUUCUCUCCCUGACCCUCCUCUCCUUCCGUAGCUACUAUUUGUCAAGGUCUCCGCGUUCGCUUCAGCUUCCCUUUACGACCCCUAGCUCGGGGGCUUUGUGGAGUCCCCCAAAGUCCUGGAACCCCGCGGGACGGUCAGACGCUUUGGCGGCCAGACGUUAGAAAAAGUGUCCCCGCUCUUUGCCGCCCUUGUGCACCCUGGAGCGCGAACUGAAUACCAAAGGUGACCAUGGGCUGUUUUCCUGCACAGCAAAUAGACCUCUUCUUACUUUUAAAAUGUAGAAAAGCACAGAAAAGGGGCUGGGAGUGAGGGGUUGUGCUUGAAAGAAAUUGUGAGGCUGUGGAUGGGGACAGAAGAAGUAGGAGGCUCGGCUCCUGGUCACAGUUUUGCCAAGAACAGGAGAGUAUUGUGCAUCGUAGGGGAUCAAUAAUAUUGGACUGAAUUUAAAGAAGACCUCCUUGUUGUCCCUGAGGUUCUACCACUGAGGGAAGGUUGAUCCCCACUUUCAAAUCUUCUAAAGAGCUACCAGUCGCUGAGCACAUACCGUGUGCCAGGCACUGUGGCGGGUUCCUAUGUUCACCCUCCUGAGAGCACCUUCAGCCUCGCUUUACCCUGGAGAUCUGAUCGCUCAAGAUCACCCAGGCACUAAGCAGUGGAGCUGGUAAGAGAAACCAGAACCCUCGGGCACUCUGCUGCUUGACACAUGACCUCAACUCUUCUUUGGACUGAAGCAAGGCAUAAAUAACGCGAUAAAUGCCUGGAUCAAGAAUAUGCAAAGUUCCCUUCCCUACCCUCAUUGUCCUUGGGACCUUAAGAAAUUACCACACCCCCCCGCCCCCACCGACUCCACCAUUAUCGCUGAAGUUUCUCAUUAAAUGGGUAGAAAAUUGUAUGACCUACUGCAUAGGCUAAUCAUGAGGGUUAGACUAGUUCAUGUCAGCGAAGGUACCCAACAGAGUACUCACAUGGUAAGUGCAAAUUAAAUGGCAGCUAAAGCUGAUUUCAGCUUUGGGGUCGGUGUUAACUCUUCUAACACGCUCUGCUGACAGUGACUGACUAUAGUGAUGGAGGCGGUUGUAGUAGGAGCAGCAUUAGCUAACAUUUGUAGAACACUGGGAAAUCUCCAAGGGCCAGAAAAUAACUCUCAUUUAAAUAAUCUCAUUUAAAUUCACAACAGCUCUCUUAACAGAUGUCAUUAUUCCUAUUUUUACAGAUUAAGAUAGAAAGGCAUAAAGAAAGAGGAUAAGUCACUGGUCCAAAGUCAUCUAGCCUUAUGCGAUAAAACAGGGGUCAAAUCCAGGGCUCGGGGUUUUAGUGAAGUUUCCACCUCCAGUAGACGCCAACACGUGAACCCCAAGGUUUGGUCAGAAUUUAUUCCCAUGAAUAGUCUUAUGAGCUAAAAAAGGAAAUAAAAAGGCACUUUCCAGGAAGCGCCAUGACUGCUGAAGAGGCAGACCCAACUGGCUCGCUGGCUUUGCUUCUGGGAGCUGACCCUGGGCUUUCGAGGACAGUGCUAGCAGCUGGGACAGAGGUGAAGGCAUUGUCACCAAGCCGUCAUCUCUCAAUGGCUCCCCAGCCCCAGCCUGUGCUUCUGUGGCCUCCUGGCCUGCCAGCCCCCAUUGCUGAGGCCAAGGGGAAGGAGAGAGAGACCUGGGUUAAAGGCUGGCAAGAGACAUAGUCAGAAGGGAGAAAAGUGGAGCAAAAAAACCUGCUGAGGGGGCCUGGCAGGGAGGCUGUCCGCUUGCUCAUCUGUAUGCUCCGGGGUGAGGCCUGCAGUGGAAGGCACUGCCUGGGCAGAGUCAUUUGGACAUGGGCAGUGAAUCAACCAAACCCCAUGGGCACCAGUUCUGGGCUUCUGGGGACUCAGAUCCCAUUCCCUGCUUGCCCUAUCCUCUGCCCCAGCAGUGGGAUGGGCCUCUGUGUGUGUGUGUGUGUGUGUGUGUGUGUGUGUGUGUGUGUGUGUGUGUGUGUGGUGUGUUCCCACAUUAAAGAGGCAGAAAAGAUGGAAGG